AUACGGAGGGUGCAAGCGUUAAUCGGAAUUACUGGGCGUAAAGCGCGCGUAGGCGGUUUAGUAAGUCGGAUGUGAAAGCCCUGGGCUCAACCUGGGAAUGGCAUUCGAUACUGCAGAGCUAGAGUAUGGUAGAGGGAAGUGGAAUUUCCGGUGUAGCGGUGAAAUGCGUAGAUAUCGGAAGGAACACCAGUGGCGAAGGCGACUUCCUGGGCCAAUACUGACGCUGAGGUGCGAAAGCGUGGGGAGCAAACAGGAUUAGAUACCCCAGUAGUCC
rnacentral:rRNA from 1 species